rnacentral:rRNA from 1 species
UGGGUAGUCCGCACGAGCGCACCUUGAUCCUUAGUUGCCAGCAUUCAGUUGGGCACUCUAAGGAGACUGCCGGUGACAAACCGGAGGAAGGUGGGGACGACGUCUAGUCAUCAUGGCCCUUACGUGUAGGGCUACACACGUGCUACAAUGGCAUUUACAGAGGGAAGCGAGACAGUGAUGUGGAGCGGACCCCUUAAAGAAUGUCGUAGUCCGGAUUGGAGUCUGCAACUCGACUCCAUGAAGUCGGAAUCGCUAGUAAUCGCAGGUCAGAAUACUGCGGUGAAUACGUUCCCGGGCCUUGUACACACCGCCCGUCACACCAUGGGAGUGGGAUGCAAAAGAAGUAGUUAGUCUAACCUUCGGGAGGACGAUUACCACUUUGUGUGUCAUGACUGGGGUGAAGUCGUAACAAGGUAACCCUAGGGGAACCUGGGGUUGGAUCACCUCCUU